GCUAGGUGCAAUGAGCGGGACGAGCUCUGCGGCGGUGCGGACGGCGUGGUGGCGCGAAUCCGUUUCCGACCGGGGCUGGCCUGUCGUGUAUGUGUCCAUUUCCACCUCCGCCUCCGAUUCGUGGCCUUCUCCUUGUAGCAGAGGUUCCGUUGGCCAUAGCAGAGGCCGAAUUAGACCGACGAUGCCUUGUUGUUCGCGCAGCAACACGAUGCACUACGGUGCGUACUUUGUCAGUCAAAUCUUUGAACUUGGAGCUGAUCCGAUGUCUUGCUUAUGUUACUUUUCUUGUAGCUACUGACCUACGUGUACUCCCACUCUAUGCUUUAGGAGUUGCCGUAUUGAUAUUUUGAGGCGUGGGGAUAUUCGAAACGGCCAGGAUUUUCUUGGCACGGCUCCAUAGGAAAACAUAUAUGAUGUCCCUAGAAAUUGGGUACGUGCCAGUAUUUUUCAAAUAAUGAGCAGAGCUUGUAGCAUUAAUUCAUAAUGGUUUUUUAGAUGCAUGUCCAUGACGGUGUUGACCUUUUGUUGGCUUCCUUCUCUGAUCUGAUUAGAAAACAUGUGUCUUUCCUUGAUCUGGACACCUCAUGCGUACAAAUACAAAUACGAGUGGCCAGCCCUUCUGAUUGAUUACUUCCCUUGCGUACAACAAAC
rnacentral:lncRNA from 1 species